UUGGAGGGCAAGUCUGGUGCCAGCAGCCGCGGUAAUUCCAGCUCCAAUAGCGUAUAUUAAAGUUGUUGCAGUUAAAAAGCUCGUAGUUGAAUUUCGGGGUCAGUAGGUCGGUCGUGCCACUGGUAUGAGCUGGUUUUACUGAUUCCUCCCUCUUGAAGAACUGUAAUGCCAUUAAUUUGGUGUUGCAGGGAAUCAGGACUGUUACUUUGAAAAAAUUAGAGUGUUUAAAGCAGGCUUUAGCUUGAAUACAUUAGCAUGGAAUAAUGAAAUAGGACGUUUGAUCCUAUUUUGUUGGUUUCUAGGAUUGACGUAAUGAUUAAUAGGGAUAGUUGGGGGCAUUAGUAUUCAAUUGUCAGAGGUGAAAUUCUUGGAUUUAUUGAAGACUAACUACUGCGAAAGCAUUUGCCAAGGAUGUUUUCAUUAAUCAAGAACGAAAGUUAGGGGAUCGAAGACGAUCAGAUACCGUCGUAGUCUUAACCAUAAACUAUGCCGACUAGGGAUCGGAUGAUGUUAAUUUUUUAAUGACUCAUUCGGCGCCUUACGGGAAAC
rnacentral:rRNA from 1 species